CACCAAGGUGCCGAUGGGUGCCCGAGGCUCCCGCACAUCCAAGCACCAAGUUGCCGAUGGUGUCCGAGGCUCCCGCACAUCCUAGCCACCGAGGUGCCGAUGCUGCCCGAGGCUCCCGCACGACCAAGGGCCGAGGUGCCGAUGGUGGCCGAGGCCCCCGCACGACCAAGGGCCUAUUUUACCGAUGGUGCCCGAGGCUCCCGCACGACCAAGGGCUUAGUUUGCCGAUGGUGCCCGAGCCUCUCGCACGACCAAGGGCCUAGGUUGCCGAUGGUGCCCGAGGU